rnacentral:lncRNA from 1 species
GAUAUGCGUGGGGCCCGAGGAAGGGCCGGACCAUAAGGGCCUAUUGUACGCAACAUUACCUACAUUUCUGCAAGAGGCUGUUUCCACGGCUCGAACCCGUGACCUCCUGAUCACAUGGCAGCAACUUUACCAGUUACGCCAAGGCUCCCCUACAAACACUAUUUGAGUUAUAUGUGUUCCCGCCUGAGUUUGCACAUCAAUUAAUGCAUGAUUUAACUAUAAUUUCAAAUCAUAUUUAAGUUUCCCUAUCUGCGAAUAAAAUAAGCUCAAUUGUAACUGUUGACGAGGAUAGCAAAGCUGUUUUCCAAGCUGAAUUCCACGUUAUCAACGUAAGCCUGAUCAAGCAUCAACUUUUCAUUACUGUUCUAAAAUCAGUUUUUACAUAAUCUAAUAUAGUAGUGAAAUAUUGGAAACCAAAGAAAAAUACAAAAUUUCACCAUUGAAUUACGAUAUUCACCCUAACAAACAGUAAGUCAAAGUUAAGCAGUGUCUACUGGUAGCAUACAGGUGCAAAAUAUAGCAAAAAAUUCAGUUCCGUAAGAUCUAAAUCAUAAUAAGUAAAUUUCUCCCUAAAAACGCAAAAAGAAAGAUAAAGAAUCAAUGCGAAUAUACAGAAAGAAAUUGGAAAUCGAACCUUGUCAAUGUUUAGUGAUACAGUAGGGUGACCGAGAUCUAUCGUUUCAGAAAGUGAUUGACAUAAAGAUUGAGAGCACCUGAGACUGAGAGGGCAAAACAUAUCGAAUAGAUUUACUUUAGAGAGAGAUAAAGAGAUAGAGGGGGGGGGGGGGGGAAAGUGAUUGACAUAAAGAUUGAGAGCACCUGAGACUGAGAGGGCAAAAAAUAUCGAACAGAUUUACUUUAGAGAGAGAGAGAGAGAGAGAGCGCACCCAGCAUAGGAACCAACGAUUAUGAACUGGAUCUGGAAAC